rnacentral:lncRNA from 1 species
GGGUUUACGUUUAGGGUUUAGAGUUGAUAUUUUAGGGUUUAGAUUUGAAGGUUUAGGGUUUAGGGUUUAGAGUUGAUGUUUCGGAGUUUAGGGUUUAGAGUUGAUGUUUCAUGGUUUACGGUUUAGAGUUGAUGAUUUAGGGUUUAGAGUUGAUGUUUUAAGUUUAGAUUAUUUAACCAUAUGUUUUUUUUUGUCAAAGUUAAU